CUGCUGCCUUCCGUAGGAGUCUGGUCCGUGUCUCAGUACCAGUGUGGGGGACCUUCCUCUCAGAACCCCUACGCAUCGUCGCCUUGGUGGGCCGUUACCCCGCCAACUAGCUAAUGUGCCGCAUGCCCAUCCUCCGCCGGAAUCGCUUCCUUUUAACACCCGUGGGAUGCCCCACAGAUGUACCACGCGGUAUUAGUCCGGAUUUCUCCGGGUUAUCCCCCUGCGGAGGGCAGGUUGCAUACGUGUUACUCACCCGUGCGCCGGUCGCCGG
rnacentral:rRNA from 1 species